ensembl:snRNA U6 U6 spliceosomal RNA
GUGCUCGCUUUGGUGCCACAUAUACUAAAAUUGGAAGGAUACAGAGAAGAUUAAGAUGGCCCCUGCACAAGGAUGACAUGCAAAUUCAUGAAGAGUUCUGUGUUUUU